rnacentral:rRNA from 1 species
AUACGGAGGGUGCAAGCGUUACUCGGAAUCACUGGGCGUAAAGCGCGCGCAGGCGGCUUGAUAAGUUGGAUGUGAAAGCCUACGGCUCAACCGUAGAACUGCAUCCAAAACUGUCAAGCUAGAGUCUGGGAGGGGAAGAUGGAAUUAGUUGUGUAGGAGUAAAAUCCGUAGAGAUAACUAGGAAUACCAAAAGCGAAGGCGAUCUUCUGGAACAGUACUGACGCUGAGGCGCGAAAGCGUGGGGAGCAAACAGGAUUAGAAACCCCGGUAGUCC